UACGUAGGGGGCAAGCGUUGUCCGGAUUUAUUGGGCGUAAAGAGCUCGUAGGCGGCUCGUUGCGUCGGCUGUGAAAAACCCGCAGCUCAACUGUGGGCUUGCAGCUGAUACGGGCAGGCUAGAGUUCGGUAGGGGAGACUGGAAUUCCUGGUGUAGCGGUGAAAUGCGCAGAUAUCAGGAGGAACACCGGUGGCGAAGGCGGGUCUCUGGGCCGAUACUGACGCUGAGGAGCGAAAGCGUGGGGAGCGAACAGG
rnacentral:rRNA from 1 species